CCCAUCUGGGGCCUGUUGCACAAAAGUAGAAUUAAGACAUCCGGGAUAAAUGACUCAGCUGAGCUCAAUGAAGCCAAAACAUGUGCGUCCAGGCUUAAUUGGUUGCACAAAGACCAAGCCAGGAUGAGCAGACACGGAUUCAUUAAGCCAGGUGAAACCAAUCCUGGAUAGGUGCGCGCUCACGGCUCACUCAAAUAGACCCCGCCACAGAUCACAGAUUAACUGAUUUACCAUGGCAACUAGAGCCGCGUACUUUUCCCCGUCGGAAGCACAAAUCCUCAUGGAGGCAUACGAGGAGGUAAAAGAUAUAAUUAAGAAGAAAGGCAACACCGCCACAGUGAUAAAGCAAAGAGAAAAAGCGUGGCAAAGUAUUGCAGACCGCCUGAAUGCGUAAGUAGUGCACAAUUACACACUCACCGCUCCGCUGAAACAUCACAAUUACAAUUGAAAUAUUUAAUUCACAUCUCCAGAAAUGCAGUUGUACUGUAAUUAUGAAACGGUUAAAUUUUUAAUUGAAAUGCACUGCAGAUAUGAGUGAAAUUGUGUAAAGUAACUCCAUCACACUGUAUAAAGCUAUGAUAAAUUUUUUGAUAUUUUUACUGAAAACAAGACAAAAAUACCAAGUAAUUUUUUGCAGUGUGACUCCAUUAAAUGUGUGUGUGUGUGUGUGUGUGUGUGUGUGUGUGUAGAUUAAACAUGAACGGGCCAAAACGGACAUGGCAGCAGGUCAAAAUCAAAUACAAGAACAUUCUGCAGAAUGCAGUGAAAAAGAAUACCCACAGACAAGGCACGGGUGGUGGGUCACCAAAGGCUGACCUUACCCCAGCAGAGGACAUGGCCUUGGAGCUAAAUAAAGGCAGGCCCGUCUUAAGAGGGGAUCCCUGGGGGGAAAGAGACGAGCAUAGGUUCCUCCCAAGAUGCCACCCGCUUCAUUCAAGUGCCUGGCAGCACUGUGUUCCUGUUAGAGCCACCAGCACAAGCACCAGACGAUGCUGAUCCAGGUGAAGGCCCCAGUGCAGCAGCAACAGCACAUGAUGGAGACGAUGAUGAGGAGGAGACCAUCUCUCUGGAUUCCAGAAGGCAUGAGGACCCAGAUGCUAUACAGUGGGAAAACCAGCCUGGCAACAUAGUGCGUAUUAAUAAAAGGACACCACAUCCUGCCAAAUUCCAGCUGCGCUAAUUGUAUUGUGUUCACAGAGCUCACAAGCUAUCAGAAAGUUGUAUGGCAACCACCUCCGGCGCCAAAUAGAACUGGCAGACAUAGACAUUCAGUACAAGAAGAAAAAGAUGGAAAAUCUUGCACUGGAGUCCGAAAUAAAAAAGAGGACAAUUAGGAAACUGGACCUUGAAAUAAAAAAACUUGAGAGGGAGCUCCAAGAAGAUGACACAGCUCAAAAUAAAAAUUAGGUAUAUUCUCGUAAAGUCAAGUGAGCCAUGAGAUAUGAGCUCUUAUUGUGAGCACACAGGACGGUGGCAUCUUUCUAAGGUUUUUUUUAUUUUCCCAGCAAUCAGUACAACCAAGUCAUCGUUAUAAGGCAUCGCCCUCUUUUGCCCACCCCCCCAGCACCAGGUGUGGCCACUAGCCUAUAUGAAGGCCCAAAAUUGUGUGUUCCUUUCUGCUCUGACAAUGGCAUGCCCAUUCGUGCGAGAUGUGGUGGAUGAAGAAGCACUUGUGCUGAGGAGAGCCUUCAGGCGAGAAAGGGUCUUCAGGGACCGGUUGGACCCACUGGCCUUCCCUGAUGACCAUCUAUAUGAAAGAUACAGGUUUUCUGCAGAUGGCAUCAGGUAUCUAUGCAGACUACUGGGUCCCAGGAUUAAGCACCGCACUGCACGGAGCCAUGCACUGAGUGUGGAGCAAAUGGUUUGUGUGGCCUUGCGCUUUUUUGCUAGUGGAGCCUUCCUGUACUCAGUGGGGAUGCAGAACAGCUGAACAAGGCCACAAUUUGCCGCACAAUAAGGAGUGUGUGUCUGGCUAUCAAAGCAUUAGCAGAUGUCUUCAUCUCCUUCCCUGGCCACAGAAGACUCUGUGACAUCAAAGAGGAGUUCUAUAGGAUUGCAGAUGGUCUGCAAUGCUGACUGUGUGAUCAGCAAUGUUGUGGCAAAAUGGCCUGGCUCAGUCCAUGACUCCAGAAUCUUUCGGGCCUCUGAAAUCUAUCAGUGCCUAUCACAAGGUGAAUUCUCUGGUGUGUUGCUGGGAGACAGGGGUAUGGCUGCCAGCCUUUUCUCCUGACACCUUUCACAGACCCCCAGGAAGCACAGCAGGCCUACAACCAUGCCCAUGCCAGGACCAGGGCCAGAGUUGAAAUGACCUUUGGCCUCCUGAAGGCACGCUUUCACUGCCUUCACAAAUUAAGGGUCAGCCCUGUUAGGGCAUGUGAUAUUACUGUGGCUUGUGCUGUCUCUCCACAAUGUGGCCUGCCUGAGGAAGGAGAGGGCCCCCAGAGUGCCACCAGCCAUGGACUGGGACAAUCCGGCAAUCUUCCCUGAUGACGACAGUGGUCGGCUGCUGAGGGACCAAUAUGUGUUGAAUUAUUUUAGUUAGUAUGUGUGCUUUCAAUUUUGGUUAAAUAUGUCCUGCGGUGGCAGAGGAAUUUGGUUUUUUUGGGUUCGUUUUUUGACGAAUUUGGCCUCUUAUGAUGUUUGUGCGGUAUACUGUGUGUAAUACAAGGCUGCAGGGAGGCUACUGCAUCCAUUCAUUUGUCUGUUCAGUUGAUGUGUAUGGAUUUGUCCUGCAUUUAUUUUAGUGUGCAGACAUGCAGGGUGUAUUAUAUACAGACCUUUGAAUGUGUAUGUAUCAUUUUGUAUAAUAUGCUUGGAUUCUGUGCUUUCCAUCUUGUAGAGUCACUGUGACUUCAGUUUCGAAAGGAGCUGAUGGUUUACCUGCUUUGUUUUGUCCUUAUUCAAUAAAGGAACAUAAUGUUACACAUUGUGUUUUUAUAUUCA